AAAUUAUCUCAAAUACCCACUUUGUAUAGAAAUGGAGCAAAAAAUGGCUUGGUAUUGUACUUUGACCAAUUAUUAAUAAACAAUUAAUCAAAAUGGCGAUAAUAUAAUGGUUUGAUUCUGCAAACUCUUGAAUUUUAUUUUUCUUCUUCAUCUC